UGUAUAUGUAUAAAGGGUCCUUAGGAGUCAUCAGACUGAAGAUAUUCUUAGAAGUUCUCACCCAAACAUAUACAUCACCUCUGUAUGCACAAACAGAUUAUAGUGUCUCACAAAAGAGAUCAGAAAGUAAGGGUC